rnacentral:siRNA from 1 species
AUCAUAGAUGGUGGUGUUGUG